rnacentral:lncRNA from 1 species
CUCCGCCCCAGGUCCAGUCUUGUGCCCCUCCGCCCCAGGUCCAGUCUUGUGCCCCUCCGCCCCAGGUCCAGUCUUGUGCCCCUAGCCCCUCCGCCCCCAGGUCCAGUCUUGUACCCCUAGCCCCUCCGCCCCAGGUCCAGUCUUGUACCCCUAGCCCCUCCGCCCCAGGUCCAGUCCUGUACCCCUAGCCCCUCCACCCCAGGUCCAGUCCUGUGCCCCUACCCCAGGUCCAGUCCUGUACCCCUAGCCCCUCCGCCCCAGGUCCAGUCUUGUACCCCUAGCCCCUCCGCCCCAGGUCCAGUCUUGUACCCCUAGCCCCUCCGCCCCAGGUCCAGUCUUGUACCCCUAGCCCCUCCGCCCCAGGUCCAGUCUUGUACCCCUAGCCCCUCCGCCCCUGGUCCAGUCUUGUACCCCUAGCCCCUCCGCCCCAGGUCCAGUCCUGUACGCCUAGCCCCUCCGCCCCAGGUCCAGUCCUGUACCCCUAGCCCCUCUGCCCCAGGUCCAGUCCUGUACCCCUAGCCCCUCUGCCCCAGGUCCAGUCUUGUGCCCCUCCGCCCCAGGUCCAGUCUUGUGCCCCUCCGCCCCAGGUCCAGUCUUGUGCCCCUAGCCCCUCCGCCCCAGGUCCAGUCUUGUACCCCUAGCCCCUCCGCCCCAGGUCCAGUCUUGUACCCCUAGCCCCUCCGCCCCAGGUCCAGUCUUGUGCCCCAGGUCCAGUCUUGUGCCCCUAGCCCCUCCGCCCCAGUCUUGUGCCCCUAGCCCCUCCGCCCCAGGUCCAGUCUUGUGCCCCAGGUCCAGUCUUGUGCCCCUAGCCCCUCCGCCCCAGUCCUGUGCCCCUCCGCCCCAGGCCCAGUCCUGUGCCCCUCCGCCCCAGGCCCAGUCCUGUGCCCCUCCGCCCCAGGUCCCAGUCCUGUGACCCUCCACCCCAGGCCC